GACGAACGCUGGCGGCGUGCUUAACACAUGCAAGUCGAACGCUGAAGCUCAGCUUUUGUUGGGUGGAUGAGUGGCGAACGGGUGAGUAACACGUGAGUAACCUGCCCCCUUCUUUGGGAUAACGCCCGGAAACGGGUGCUAAUACUGGAUAUUCACUGGUCUUCGCAUGGGGGUUGGUGGAAAGGGUUUUUCUGGUGGGGGAUGGGCUCGCGGCCUAUCAGCUUGUUGGUGGGGUGAUGGCCUACCAAGGCUUUGACGGGUAGCCGGCCUGAGAGGGUGACCGGUCACAUCGGGACUGAGAUACGGCCCAGACUCCUACGGGAGGCAGCAGUGGGGAAUAUUGCACAAUGGGCGCAAGCCUGAUGCAGCGACGCCGCGUGAGGGAUGGAGGCCUUCGGGUUGUGAACCUCUUUCGCUCAUGUUCAAGCCGCAACAAUGGUUGUGGUGAGGGUAGUGGGUAAAGAAGCGCCGGCUAACUACGUG
rnacentral:rRNA from 1 species